GGCGCCGUGGCUUAGCUGGUUAAAGCAUCUGUCUUGCAAACAGAAAGUCCUGGGUCCAAAUCCCAGCGGUGACU